rnacentral:lncRNA from 1 species
UGAAAAAAAAAAAACGGAAGCAGAGAAGUGUCUGGAUGAAGACUCGUUCGAAUGACUGGUGGGAUUGCAUUGUGGCAACAGAGUUCACCGACGAGGACUGGAAAGAUAACUUUAGAAUGAGCCGAGCUUCCUUCAACGAACUUGUUCUACUUUUGGAACCAUUCAUGUCGCCAAAGACAUAUUGUGUGCGACAACCACUACCACUGCAAAAGAGAGUGGCUAUUGCCCUUUUCAACAUGGCCAGCUGCAGUGAGUACAGAGUGGUUGCGAAUCAAUUUGGUGUUCACAAAAGCAGCGUCAAAAAUUGUUUACAUGUUCUGCCAAUCGCUUGUACAGCAUUACUUGAAAAAGUACAUAAGUAUACCUACUGCCACAGAAGCUGAAGCUAUUGCCAGAAACUUCGAAGCAAGGUGCCACCUCCCUCAAAUAUUUGGGGCAAUCGAUGGUACCCACAUCCCUAUCAUGGCACCAAAGAAAGGAUAUUGUGACUUUGUGAACAGAAAAAAUGUGGACAUCAUGCAAUGUGCUAGCUGUAGUCGACGACCGAGGGCGAUUUCGCAGUGUUACCUGCAAUGUCCCGGGAAGUGCACAUGAUGCAUCCGUGUUGAGGCUGUCGACACUGUUCCAAAGGAGCGAGGAGCUUGUUGCCAAGACAAGAAAACUUGUUGAAUGGCUGUUUAAUCCCACUCAUGCUAUUGGGGGAUCCUGCAUAUCUUGGUUUGCCUUGGAUACUGAAGGGAUACACCUCGUCACAAGGAAGGCUUCUCAAAGGAGCAGGAGUCAUUUAAUAUGUACCACAGUAGCGGUCGCAAUGUUGUGGAGCAUGCCUUUGGAAGGCUAAAGGGGCGAUGGAGAGUGCUACUGAAGCGAGCCGACAUAAAUUACAAAUUUAUGCUGACAGUCAUAGUAGCUGCAUGCAUUUUGCACAAUUUUUGUGAAGAGAGAGGAGAGACAGUCAUUGAUGCGUGGAUUGGUGAUGUUAGGUCAGCUGAGCAUGAGCUUUACCAGCAGCCUUCAACCAGACCUCUGCACACAAGCACUGUUAGUGAAGUGCGGGAUUUUCUCUGCAAUUACUUGGCUGAAAACUUUCCACUUCGGUCUGCAUCGUGGUGAAUUCUAUUUUGUGAAGUUAUGAAGACAGUCAAAUAAAACAGAGUUUGAAGCACGGUUUUUCAAAGCAGUGUUUAUUUGUCACAAGUACAGCUUCCUCACUUCACUGUUUGUUGGCAGCAUUACUCGGGCUACUGCCUUGACCCUGAGGCUGUUGUGCAGAAAAGACAGUCCUUGCUGGAGCGGCUGGCCAAACGAAAAGGGCAUCUGCCCAAAAGGUGCUGCAGGCUGGGCAAAUGCUGGCACAGGCUGCCUCAUCAAUUGUGCCAUCAUGGCUUGGGUUCCUUGAAGGAAUGAUGCCGUAAUUCACGCCAUUACUUCUUUAAAGCUUUCAUUUUCCUGUUGUAGCAGCUCUUUCUGCUGCUGAAACAGAACUUCGUUUUGCUCUUGAAGAAGUACAGCUGUCCUUUGAUGUUGCCACUCCAGCAACUCGGGCAGCGCCAGGGUGCUGUUCCUGGCCCGCUUUGCUGGUGGCAUGGUUGAGCCAGUGGUUGCUGCAAGAAACAGCGCACAACGGUAAUCACCAUGAACAUAGGAAAACCUUCGUUUUUGGUCAUACUGUUACAUCACAUGGCAAAGCAAUUUCGAAUUGCUGCAUCCAAAACAAUAAAUGAAGUAAAUCCCACAGACUGAUGUUACGAAAACCAUUAUGCUGGUACCUGUCUACAUAGCAUUGUUUGGGAUUAUGCGAAGUACAAUUGGGGGAACCAAUUUGUUUAUGCAAGAUGAACCGCUAUGUGUCGGCGUGUAAAGACAGCAGCAAGAUGACACCGCUGACGUCACUUCUACUUUGGCCGUUGGACGCGAGCUUACCAAAUGUUUCUUGUUUGGUUCCAAACGGGUACUGGACUAGCGUAGAAAAAGGAAACGUGGAGUGCAACAUGAUCAACGGCUCCGUGUUAUGCCAUCACAUGUACAUAUACAAACAUUCCAUGUGGUAUGUUCAAUCUCACUCAUGCUAUUGUAUGUAUAAACGUGCACAUGCAUAAACAUUCACUUGUCCUCUCUUCCCUCUGUGCCUGUAGGAACUGCACUACCCCAUUGCUAAGAACACAGACUGUACCAUUAAGAAAACACUUACCACUUGAGCUCAUUUCUGAGGUUUGGCUGCCACCAGGUGAAUCGAGGCUAUCGAAAUGGGAACGCCUCUCGUCAUCACUCUGACCUGAAUUGAAAAAGACGGUGGUGUCACUGCAUAACUCACCAUUAGAAAUACAUCUGCUCAUUUCAUUUAUGUGUAAAACAACUCCUUUGCUCAUAUUCUAUUUUCUCAAUUUCUUACUUUGCUACAAGCUUAAUUGAUUCUUGUUCUGCUGUUUCUGUUUCCAUGUACAUAAAUAUUGUAUGCAUGCACACAUAUUGCUUUUGCUGCCUGAUUGUUAGCUCCUGUUCUUUAAUAUGUGACCCAUUUUAAAUUGCACAAUAAAACACCAGUUUGCCAGUGAUGCAAAUGUCUUCAGUGUUUGCAAUAAAUGAAAUCAUGAAACUCGA